CAAGCGCCUAGUAUAAAGUGUUCACAAAGGUUACAUACAGAUGCAGGUGGAUUCGUAGCGUCGGCCACAGGUAAAUUAGUAACUAGUGGAAAGUGAAGGGGAAAGAUAAACUCACAAGGGAUUUCAUCUUAUGCAGCACCAUAUCUACAAGGUAAAUUAACCACACCACGUUGGUCUUUGGGAAGCUGCAAUACAAGAAGUAGAGAAUCAGUAACAGUUUAGCGAUCAUGUUUUGCAGAUGGAAAAUAGUUCCUGAGGCAUUUCAAAAUUCUUGUUCUGAGUAAUUAUUUUUACCAGUCUAUUUAUCAAGCUUGGGGAAAUCUUACUUAAUGUUCAUGCACAAUUAGCAUUUUUUCAUGUCACAGAUUAUAGUGGAAACCCAACUUGGCAUGUGCAACAGAAGAGGACUGUUGAGUUACCUGCCCUCCCAGUGUUCCUGGGAUCCGCAGACAGGUCUAGAAAGAGAAUGGCAGUCCCUGGAGAAUAACAUUGUGAAGAACCAUGAGGUCAAGGAACAUAAGAGAGGCAAAAUGUUACAGUGAUGUACAAUUUUUUUUUCAAAUGACUGGUAAUCACUUAUGCACUAGGAAAAACUGACUUUCAAAAGGUCAUUGAUGCUGAUUGUGUGAGGUGCAAACUUCAAUAGAUGUCUCAUGAAUCUA